GAUGAACGCUGGCGGCGUGCCUAAUACAUGCAAGUCGAGCGAACGGACGAGAAGCUUGCUUCUCUGAUGUUAGCGGCGGACGGGUGAGUAACACGUGGAUAACCUACCUAUAAGACUGGGAUAACUUCGGGAAACCGGAGCUAAUACCGGAUGAUAUUUUGAACCGCAUGGUUCAAAAGUGAAAGACGGUCUUGCUGUCACUUAUAGAUGGAUCCGCGCUGCAUUAGCUAGUUGGUAAGGUAACGGCUUACCAAGGCAACGAUGCAUAGCCGACCUGAGAGGGUGAUCGGCCACACUGGAACUGAGACACGGUCCAGACUCCUACGGGAGGCAGCGUAGGGAAUCUUCCGCAAAGGGCGAAAGCCUGACGGAGCAACGCCGCGUGAGUGAUGAAGGUCUUCGGAUCGUAAAACUCUGUUAUUAGGGAAGAACAUAUGUGUAAGUAACUGUGCACAUCUUGACGGUACCUAAUCAGAAAGCCACGGCUAACUACGUG
rnacentral:rRNA from 1 species